AAUACUUGUCGCUUUUAGUUUUUGUUUGUAAAUUUUGAUCAUUCGUCUUAUUCAAAAAAUUAUGAAAUUAUUAUUUACUUUGAUUGUGACUUGCUUUAUCAAAAGCAAUUUAAGCAUAACUUAUCAUUUUUUACAUUUGCACUAAUUUUUUAAAUAAGACGAAUGGUCAAACGUUGCAAUAAAAAAGUCAAAGCAACCACUAAC
rnacentral:pre_miRNA from 1 species